rnacentral:rRNA from 1 species
CACACCGCCGUCACACCACGAAAGCGUUUUUUACCAGAAGUCGGUGAGCUAACUCCGCGCAAGCGGAGAGGCAGCCGCCCAAGGUAAGGACGGUGAUUGGGUG